rnacentral:rRNA from 1 species
CUUAUUUUAUGUUGGUGUAUAUCUGGUUGAAUAUUAUUGCUUUAAUUGCUUAAUUUGUGGAUAAUAAUUAUUUAAGCCAAGUCUAUGUGCUGCUUAUAUAAGUUUUCAUGCGUUACAUUUAUAAUUUUAUUUAUGUAAAUAGUAAAUUUUAGGACUUAAUAGUAAUAUAAAAUUAGUUUGUUUGUGUGAAGUUGGUUUAGCUUGGGUACACACCGCCCGUCCA